GGUUGUUGGUUCCAUGGAAUGCGGGAAUUUUUAGCUUUAGGCCUCCCAAAGGAUCUCUAGGCGGUGCUCUCUCUCGGCGACGCCUACGUUGGCUGCUGUGGGAAGAGGCGUGACUAUAGUAACUCCUUGCCUCAUCAUUUUGCCUUGGUUCUUCAUGCCGUGGUUCUUCUUUCCUUUGACGUUGAUUUGGUUCCGGGUUGACUUGAUGCAAGUGUAGAGCACUAAUCUUUUCCUCAAUCAUCGUUACCAUGGCGGUGGUGACUGAUUCCAAAAUCCUCUUCUCAAGAAUAGAUGUGGAUGACUCUUCUUCUUCUUCACUUGUCACCAUUGUACCUGAAAAAUCAAAACUUUAACAAGUAAACAGUCCAAAAACAGACAAAUAUAAACAGAUCUGGAAAAAUAACAAAUUGACUCUAAAAAUUCCGAAAAAUAGUCUCUUCACUGGUUCUAACGCAAUUGGUUUCACAAUUUUUGAACAAGCCAAUUAUUUUAUAAAAUUCACGCAAUAUUGAAACAAAAUCAGAAAAACGGAAAUUUCGGGAUGGAACUUCAAAACCUGGUUACAAAGUGGCUCUGAUACCACAUGAUAGACUCCACGCCGUGGAUCUAUACUCCAAGGACCACUUUGCUGGUUUUGAAUUGGAAGUGGCGAGAUUGAUGGUGAAUGAUGGAUAGAUCUUGAACAAAACAGCGGAAUGACGAUGAAUGUGUGCGUGAUGACGAGAUGGAGUGGAUGCAGCGGAAUGAAGGGGGGAAUGAGAAACUCUUAGACUACAAGCUUGGAUCCAACUUAGAUAUUACACACUAAGAAGAAAACAAGUUGAAAAGAUAUUACACACUUUUCGGAUCAAACAAGUAAAGAGAGAGUUUUAGAAUAAAAUGUUUGAUGUUUUGCAAAUGAGAGAUACAUGGAGUUUAUAUAGAGAAGGGAGGACGAAGGAGAGGAGAGAAGACAAGAGAAAACAUGCAAGCUCAUGCAAGAGUCUUGGAAAUAAUAACAAGUAAUAAAUGCAAAGUUUGAAGAGAAAAGGGGAAAUGGGCCAAGGCUUUGUGAGUGGGCCUUGGACCACGAAUUGGAUUGAU
rnacentral:lncRNA from 1 species